UAGGGAAUCUUCGGCAAUGGACGAAAGUCUGACCGAGCAACGCCGCGUGAGUGAAGAAGGUUUUCGGAUCGUAAAACUCUGUUGUUAGAGAAGAACAAGGACGUUAGUAACUGAACGUCCCCUGACGGUAUCUAACCAGAAAGCCACGGCUAACUACGUGCCAGCAGCCGCGGUAAUACGUAGGUGGCAAGCGUUGUCCGGAUUUAUUGGGCGUAAAGCGAGCGCAGGCGGUUUCUUAAGUCUGAUGUGAAAGCCCCCGGCUCAACCGGGGAGGGUCAUAGGAAACUGGGAGACAUGAGUGCAGAAGAGGAGAGUGGAAUUCCAUGUGUGGCGAUGAAAUGCGUAGAUAUAUGGAGGAACACCAGUGGCGAAGGCGGCUCUCAGGUCUGUAACUGACGCUGAGGCUCGAAAGCGUGGGGAGCAAACAGG
rnacentral:rRNA from 1 species